rnacentral:rRNA from 1 species
AGCGGCGGACGGGUGCGUAACACGUGGGUAACCUGCCCCUAUCACUGGGAUAACACACUGAAAAGUGUGCUAAUACCAGAUAAUAUAAGCUUUUGGCAUCAUUAGCUUAUCAAAGAAUUUCGGAUAGGGAUGGGCCCGCGUCUGAUUAGCUAGUUGGUGAGGUAACGGCUCACCAAGGCAACGAUCAGUAGCCGACCUGAGAGGGUGAUCGGCCACACUGGAACUGAGACACGGUCCAGACUCCUACGGGAGGCAGCAGUGGGGAAUAUUGCACAAUGGGCGAAAGCCUGAUGCAGCAACGCCGCGUGAGCGAUGAAGGCCUUCGGGUCGUAAAGCUCUGUCCUAUGGGAAGAUAAUGACGGUACCAUAGGAGGAAGCCCCGGCUAACUACGUGCCAGCAGCCGCGGUAAUACGUAGGGGGCAAGCGUUAUCCGGAAUUACUGGGCGUAAAGGGUGCGUAGGCGGUUUAUCAAGUCAGGGGUGAAAGGCUACGGCUCAACCGUAGUGAGCCUCUGAAACUGGUGAACUUGAGUGUAGGAGAGGAAAGUGGAAUUCCCAGUGUAGCGGUGAAAUGCGUAGAUAUUGGGAGGAACACCAGUGGCGAAGGCGACUUUCUGGACUACAACUGACGCUGAGGCACGAAAGCGUGGGGAGCAAACAGGAUUAGAUACCCUGGUAGUCCACGCU